rnacentral:rRNA from 1 species
GACGAACGCUGGCGGCACGCCUAACACAUGCAAGUCGAACGGACUUAAAAGAGCGUGCUUUUAUAAGUUAGUGGCGGACGGGUGAGUAACACGUGAGCAACCUGCCUCUUAGAGGGGGAUAGCGUCUGGAAACGGUUGUUAAUACCCCAUAAAAUAUAAAUAUCGCAUGAGAUAUAUAUCAACGGAAUUCGCUCAGAGAUGGGCGCGCGUCUGAUUAGAUAGUUGGUGAGGUAACUGCUCACCAAGUCGACGAUCAGUAGCCGGACGGAGAGGUUGAACGGCGAGAUUGGGACUGAGACAAGACCCAGACUCCUACGGGAGGCAGCAGUGGGGAAUAUAGCACCAUGGAGCGGACUCUGCUGCAGCGAGGCCGGGUGGAGGAAGAAGGUUUUCGGAUUGUAAACUCCUUUUAUCGGGGACGAUAAUGACGGUACCUGAAGAAAAAGCACCGGCUAACUACGUG